rnacentral:rRNA from 1 species
UUGGAGGGCAAGUCUGGUGCCAGCAGCCGCGGUAAUUCCAGCUCCAAUAGCGUAUAUUAAAGUUGUUGCAGUUAAAAAGCUCGUAGUUGAAUUUCGGGACUAGUACGCUGGUCAUGCCUUUGGUAUGUACUGGUGUUACUGGUUCCUACCUUCUGACGAACCGUCAUGUCAUUCAUUUGGUGUGGCGGGGAAUCAGGACUGUUACUUUGAAAAAAUUAGAGUGUUUAAAGCAGGCUCGCGCUUGAAUACAUUAGCAUGGAAUAAUGAAAUAGGACGUUUGAUCCUAUUUUGUUGGUUUCUAGGAUUGACGUAAUGAUUAAUAGGGAUAGUUGGGGGCAUUAGUAUUCAAUUGUCAGAGGUGAAAUUCUUGGAUUUAUUGAAGACUAACUACUGCGAAAGCAUUUGCCAAGGAUGUUUUCAUUAAUCAAGAACGAAAGUUAGGGGAUCGAAGACGAUCAGAUACCGUCGUAGUCUUAACCAUAAACUAUGCCGACUAGGGAUCGGAUGAUGUUAUUUUUAAUGACUCAUUCGGCGCCUUACGGGAAAC